rnacentral:lncRNA from 1 species
AUCACCUGGUUGAUGUCAUGUUCCUGAACUUUUGUGAGUGCAAGAGAAGAGAAGAAUAGCAGUAUGAGGUGGGCCAUGGCCCAAGAGGUAUCCAGCAGGAAGUGGUGGCGGGGAAGAAAUUUGAAACGCCUCCCGUGCCUAGAGCCUCUGGUGGAUUCUGGGGAAGGAAGAGGACGGGGUGUGCCUCACGCAGAUCUCUGGAGAAACGUUGAGGAGCUGAACGUGGUGGCAGCCUGGUGUGGACUAAACAGAGUCGGUUAGAAAAGUGUUCUGAUGCAGUCACAGCUUUCAAGGCCUCAGCUUGCAUAAUUACAAGGGGCAGGAGCUGAAAUUUCAUCUGUGCGACAUCAGCUCAAAAGGAGCCGAGACUGGAAGAAACCGGGAGCUAUGAUUUGCACUUUGAUAACUUAAGUGAAAUAAAUCGAUGAUUCCAAAUGGAAAAA